rnacentral:rRNA from 1 species
UACAGAGGUCUCAAGCGUUGUUCGGAUUCAUUGGGCGUAGAGGGUGCGUAGGCGGCGCGGUAAGUCGGGUGUGAAAUCUCGGAGCUUAACUCCGAAACUGCAUUCGAUACUGCCGUGCUUGAGGACUGGAGAGGAGACUGGAAUUUACGGUGUAGCGGUGAAAUGCGUAGAUAUCGUAAGGAAGACCAGUGGCGAAGGCGGGUCUCUGGACAGUUCCUGACGCUGAGACACGAAGGCCAGGGGGGCAAACGGG